rnacentral:rRNA from 1 species
AGAGUUUGAUCCUGGCUCAGGACGAACGCUGGCGGCGUGCUUAACACAUGCAAGUCGAACGAGAAUCUACUGAAAGAGUUUUCGGACAAUGGAUGUAGAGGAAAGUGGCGGACGGGUGAGUAACGCGUGAGGAACCUGCCUUGAAGAGGGGGACAACAGUUGGAAACGACUGCUAAUACCGCAUGACGCAUAGAGGUCGCAUGAUCUUUAUGCCAAAGAUUUAUCGCUUCAAGAUGGCCUCGCGUCUGAUUAGCUGGUUGGCGGGGUAACGGCCCACCAAGGCGACGAUCAGUAGCCGGACUGAGAGGUUGAACGGCCACAUUGGGACUGAGAUACGGCCCAGACUCCUACGGGAGGCAGCAGUGGGGAAUAUUGGGCAAUGGGCGCAAGCCUGACCCAGCAACGCCGCGUGAAGGAAGAAGGCUUUCGGGUUGUAAACUUCUUUUAAGAGGGAAGAGCAGAAGACGGUACCUCUAGAAUAAGCCACGGCUAACUACGUGCCAGCAGCCGCGGUAAUACGUAGGUGGCAAGCGUUGUCCGGAUUUACUGGGUGUAAAGGGCGUGCAGCCGGGUCUGCAAGUCAGAUGUGAAAUCCAUGGGCCCAACCCAUGAACUGCAUUUGAAACUGUUUUUCUUGAGUAGUGCAGAGGUAGGCGGAAUUCCCGGUGUAGCGGUGGAAUGCGUAGAUAUCGGGAGGAACACCAGUGGCGAAGGCGGCCUACUGGGCACCAACUGACGCUGAGGCUCGAAAGUGUGGGUAGCAAACAGGAUUAGAUACCCUGGUAGUCCACACUGUAAACGAUGAUUACUAGGUGUUGGAGGAUUGACCCCUUCAGUGCCGCAGUUAACACAAUAAGUAAUCCACCUGGGGAGUACGACCGCAAGGCUGAAACUCAAAGGAAUUGACGGGGGCCCGCACAAGCAGUGGAGUAUGUGGUUUAAUUCGACGCAACGCGAAGAACCUUACCAAGUCUUGACAUCCUGCGACGGUGCUGGAAACAGUACUUUCCUUCGGGACGCAGAGACAGGUGGUGCAUGGUUGUCGUCAGCUCGUGUCGUGAGAUGUUGGGUUAAGUCCCGCAACGAGCGCAACCCUUAUGGUCAGUUACUACGCAAGAGGACUCUGGCCAGACUGCCGUUGACAAAACGGAGGAAGGUGGGGAUGACGUCAAAUCAUCAUGCCCUUUAUGACUUGGGCUACACACGUACUACAAUGGCGUUAAACAAAGAGAAGCAAGACCGCGAGGUGGAGCAAAACUCAGAAACAACGUCCCAGUUCGGACUGCAGGCUGCAACUCGCCUGCACGAAGUCGGAAUUGCUAGUAAUCGCAGAUCAGCAUGCUGCGGUGAAUACGUUCCCGGGCCUUGUACACACCGCCCGUCACACCAUGAGAGCCGGGGGGACCCGAAGUCGGUAGUCUAACCGCAAGGAGAACGCCGCCGAAGGUAAAACUGGUGAUUGGGGUGAAGUCGUAACAAGGUA